UACAGAGGUCUCAAGCGUUGUUCGGAUUCAUUGGGCGUAAAGGGUGCGUAGGCGGCGCGGUAAGUCGGGUGUGAAAUCGUUGGAGCUUAACUCCGAAACUGCAUUCGAUACUGCCGUGCUUGAGGACUGGAGAGGAGACUGGAAUUUACGGUGUAGCGGUGAAAUGCGUAGAUAUCGUAAGGAAGACCAGUGGCGAAGGCGGGUCUCUGGACAGUUCCUGACGCUGAGGCACGAAGGCCAGGGGAGCAAACGGG
rnacentral:rRNA from 1 species